GGGAACAUAGCUCAGUUGGAAAGAGCAUACGAUUUCUAAUCGUACGGUCGCAGGUUCGAGUCCUACUGUUCCUG
rnacentral:tRNA from 2 species